rnacentral:rRNA from 1 species
GAGUUUGAUCCUGGCUCAGGAUGAACGCUGACAGAAUGCUUAACACAUGCAAGUCGACUGGAAUUCUUCUUCGGAAGAUAGUACGGUGGCGGACGGGUGAGUAACGCGUUAAGAAUUUGCCCUUCAGACUGGGACAACUAAUCGAAAGGUUAGCUAAUACCGGAUAUUAUGAGACCUUGGCAUCAAGGACUUAUGAAAGCUAUAUGCGCUGAAGGAGAACUUUGCGUUCCAUUAGGUAGUUGGUAGGGUAAUGGCCUACCAAGCCGACGAUGGAUAGCCGGCCUGAGAGGGUGAACGGCCACAAGGGGACUGAGACACGGCCCUUACUCCUACGGGAGGCAGCAGUGGGGAAUAUUGGACAAUGGACCAAAAGUCUGAUCCAGCAAUUCUGUGUGCACGAUGAAGGUCUUCGGAUUGUGAAGUGCUUUCAGGUGGGAAGAAGAAAGUGACGGUACCACCAGAAGAAGCGACGGCUAAAUACGUGCCAGCAGCCGCGGUAAUACGUAUGUCGCAAGCGUUAUCCGGAAUUAUUGGGCGUAAAGCGAGUCUAGGCGGCUUGUUAAGUCAGAUGUGAAAAUGCGGGGCUCAACUCCGUAUUGCGUUUGAAACUGGCAGGCUAGAGUACUGGAGAGGUGGGCGGAACUACAAGUGUAGAGGUGAAAUUCGUAGAUAUUUGUAGGAAUGCCGAUAGUGAAGACAGCUCACUGGACAGAUACUGACGCUAAAGCUCGGAAGCGUGGGGAGCGAACAGGAUUAGAUACCCUGGUAGUCCACGCCGUAAACGAUGUUCACUGGGUGUAGGGGGUCGAACCUCUGUGCCGAAGCUAACGCGAUAAGUGAACCGCCUGGGGAGUACGCACGCAAGUGUGAAACUCAAGGAAUUGACGG